CUCAAGGUGAGUAAGGGCUGCG
rnacentral:miRNA from 1 species